rnacentral:tRNA from 1 species
AAACAAGAAACUCAAAGUGUUAUGGUUUCGACCCAUAAAAAGGCAUAACCCCAUGCCCUUGUUUU